rnacentral:misc_RNA from 1 species
GAUGAAGAACGCAUCGAAAUGCGAUAAGUAAUGUGAAUUGCAGAAUUCAGUGAAUCAUCGAAUCUUUGAACGCACAUUGCGCCCGCCAGCAUUCUGGCGGGCAUGCCUGUUCGAGCGUCAUUUCAACCCUCGAGCCCCCCCGGGGGCCUCGGUGUUGGGGGACGGCACACCAGCCGCCCCCGAAAUGCAGUGGCGACCCCGCCGCAGCCUCCCCUGCGUAGUAGCACACACCUCGCACCGGAGCGCGGAGGCGGUCACGCCGUAAAACGCCCAACUUUCUUAGAGUUGACCUCGGAUCAGGUAGGAAUACCCGCUGAACUUAAGCAUAUCAAUAAGCGGAGGA